rnacentral:lncRNA from 1 species
UUAGGAUUCAAUGCAUGGGUAGGUUCGAAUUCUCUGCUGUACUCAUUCUCUCCUCAAAUCUCCUUAUGCCAUUGGGCUAUAACGUUUGGAUAUGGAUGUCAGUCAAAAGUAGAAGAAAUUCCUGCUCUCUUCAAAUUAUCUCCUUGAUCCUAAUGCCACUCCUUCUGGUCACCUCUUGCCUCUCACUCUGCUCCACUCUGCAGUAAGAAUGUCACAUAAAACACAUGGAAAAUUUGUUCAUGAGAAUUGCAUUUGUGGGACUAGAAGCAUUCACUUGGAUAUGCAGAUGCAGAGCGUUUUCCAUCCAAAGAGGGAAUUCAUGAGAAGCACAUGGAAAGAUGAUGGAAAAUGCUUAAUGCUCUCAUGGAAAACAACAUUCAUAUAUACUGGAAAUAUGCAUCCCCUUUUGUUUAUCUCCCCUUUUCAGAGUUUACAUGGCUUCAAUCUACACAAAGGGUCCUCUCAAAUCAUAGUUUUUAUAAUUUAUGAUUCUCGUUGUUUCUAAGUGUGUCCUUCAUUUAUCUGCAAUCCUAUUGAGAUGUGGUGAAUUGAUUUCUUGUUUGAGAUAAUUUUCAUUUCACUGUAAGGCAUCUCUGAGAAAACUUUUCCUUGUAUACUAAAAAAAAAGGAAAAAGAGAUAUAAGCCACUAUUAAGAGCAAAGGAAAUAAACAACAGUAUUAUGGUGUAAAGGACUUCCAUCAUUAGCUUGUAGAGUUAAUGCUUUAAUCUCAUUUGCAAACUAUUCUUUUUUCCUUUCACAAUUUUUUUUCCUAUUUAUUUGAAGUUUGUGAAACUCCAUCAGAUGUCUAUCCAAUCCCCAGUAACAUUCUGAAAGUUCUCUCUCUGCUGACAUUAAUUGUUUAUGGUUUCAGGCUUCUCCUAUUACAAUUGGCGGUCACCAGGCUACUAUUGAGCAGAAGAAGACUACCCUUCGAGGCAAGUUGAAAUCUUUUAUUUUUAACAAGUUAUGAUGAAUGGCAAAAUUAUUUCCUUUUCUUAAAAACUUCAAGGUUCUUUACCUGUGUCUCAUGUCUUUUCUUUGAAAAAAGUGUUUUACUUACAACGUUGGUUCUGUUUUUGAGAUAAGAUGAUAUCACUAUUGACCUUUUCAUGCGCAAAUUAUAUGCAAUGAAACUGCACAAUUUUUCAAAUGGCAAAGAAACUAACAUAUCUUUGAUGGUUAAAUUUCCAUAUAUACUAGAGAAAGGAAUUUUCUGCCCUUCAAUCGACCUAUAGAUUAUAGAGACCCCUUAUUGUCUAGUCCCUUGUGAUGCAUUAUCCUUGAUUUCUUUGCUGGUUGUGACAACCUUGAACUGCCCCCAUGCUCGCCUCUACUAUAGCAAAAACAAUUCAUUACCCAUUCUGCAUCUCUGCACAAUAGUAAAGGGUGAAAUAUGAUAUUUUAAGAUAGGAAUAUUAAACUUGUACUUAACUCAAAAGUUUUGUGUUCAUUCUAAUUCUUGAUGAGUUUAUUUUGAGGGAGAAAAUUUAAAUCCAUACGCAAGACUGACGAUAUAUUUUGGCGUCUGCAGUUGGCAAUGACAGGGGGAGGCCCUCAUCAGGAAGAGGUGGAUACCGAAACGAUAACUUCAGGGGCCGUGGGAACUUUGGUGGACGCGGCUAUGGCAGGAACGAGUUUGG